UACGUAGGGUGCGAGCGUUGUCCGGAAUCAUUGGGCGUAAAGAGCGUGUAGGCGGCUCGAUAAGUCCGCUCUGAAAGCCCGGGGCUCAACCCCGGGAGGCGGGCGGAUACUGUCGAGCUAGAGUCCGGAAGAGGCGAGUGGAAUUCCUGGUGUAGCGGUGAAAUGCGCAGAUAUCAGGAGGAACACCAAUGGCGAAGGCAGCUCGCUGGGACGGUACUGACGCUGAGACGCGAAAGCGUGGGGAGCGAACAGG
rnacentral:rRNA from 1 species